UACGAAGGGGGCUAGCGUUGUUCGGAAUUACUGGGCGUAAAGCGCGCGCAGGCGGUCUUCCAAGUCAGUGGUGAAAGCCCGGAGCUCAACUCCGGAACUGCCAUUGAAACUGUGAGACUUGAGGAUGAGAGAGGUGAGUGGAAUUCCCAGUGUAGAGGUGAAAUUCGUAGAUAUUGGGAAGAACACCGGUGGCGAAGGCGGCUCACUGGCUCAUUUCUGACGCUGAGGCGCGAAAGCGUGGGGAGCAAACAGG
rnacentral:rRNA from 1 species